GCAGGUAGAGAAGCAGAUGGAUGGAUAGAAUGUUUAGUGCGAGCAGGGGAGGAAGGAUUCCUAAUGAACAUAGGGGUGACCAAAAUAGAAGAAGUAGAGGGAGUGUCUGGCUGAUCCAGUAAAUGGAAGGCACGAUUAGCAUCAGUUGCAAACAAUUGACGUUUUACUGAUGGCCAAAGCUGUUCAAAAAGAGGAUGGACAGCACAGCUAGAAUUGAAAGGAGCUAAUGAAAAUUUGCCCGUCAAAAGAAUGUUGCGAGUAUCUAUAGCUUGUGCCUCUGCCUUAUUAAUAGUGUGAAAGUGGUCUGUCAAAUUUUUGGAGUAACAAGGAGAAACAGGCCAAGUUUGGCCAAAACCAAGUUGUCGAGCAAAAAAUUGGGGAGCAUAUAUUUCAACCCCAGCUUUGGCAUUGGUUCCAGUUAAGAUAUCGUGGAACAAUUCCCUCCCAAUCAAAAAC
rnacentral:lncRNA from 1 species